rnacentral:rRNA from 1 species
AUUGAACGCUGGCGGCAGGCUUAACACAUGCAAGUCGAACGAGUGGCGGACGGGUGAGUAAUGCUUGGGAAUCUAGCUUAUGGAGGGGGAUAACUACGGGAAACUGUAGCUAAUACCGCGUACCAUAGGAUGAGCCCAAGUGGGUUUAGGUAGUUGGUGAGGUAAAGGCUCACCAAGCCGACCAUCUCUAGCUGGUCUGAGAGGAUGACCAGCCACACUGGGACUGAGAAACGGCACAGCAGCCUACGGGAGGGAGCAGUGGGGAAUAUUGCGCAAUGGAGGCAAACUGACGAAGCAAUGACGCGUGAAUGAAGAAGGCCUUCGGGUUGUAAAGUUCUUUCGGUAGCGAGGCGUUAACUACAGAAGAAGCACCGGCUAACUCCGUGCCAGCAGCCGCGGUAAUUC